rnacentral:rRNA from 1 species
UCAAUAAGCGGAGGAAAAGAAACUAACAAGGAUUCCCCUAGUAACGGCGAGUGAAGCGGGAAGAGCUCAAAUUUGUAAUCUGGCGGUCUACGGCCGUCCGAGUUGUAAUCUGGAGAAGCGUUUUCGGCGCCGGUCCGCGUACAAGUCCCCUGGAACGGGGCGUCGCAGAGGGUGAGAAUCCCGUCUUUGACGCGGUCCGCCGGUGCCGUGCGAUGCGCUCUCGAAGAGUCGAGUUGUUUGGGAAUGCAGCUCAAAACGGGUGGUAAAUUCCAUCUAAAGCUAAAUACUGGCGAAAGACCGAUAGCGAACAAGUACCGUGAGGGAAAGAUGAAAAGCACUUUGGAAAGAGAGUCAAACAGUACGUGAAAUUGUUGAAAGGGAAACGCUUGAAGUCAGUCGCGUCUCUCGGGACUCAGCCGAGAAACCCUUCUCGGUGCAUUUCCCGAGUCUGGACGGGCCAGCAUCGGUUUCGACCGUCGUAAAAAGGCUUGAGGAACGUGGCACCCUCGGGUGUGUUAUAGCCUCUCGUCGUAUGCGACGGACGGGACCGAGGAACGCAGCGCGCCCCUCGCGGGGCCGGGGUUCGCCCACGUAACGCGCUUAGGAUGCUGGCGUAAUGGCUUUAA